AAUCAGAGUCUUGGUUCAGCAUCCAGGCGAUCCCGACUCCAGCGCAAAACUCGAGGACCCAAAGGGAUAUACAGAUCAUUCGCUUCUGGGAAUUUGAACAGCUAUCAAAAGCCCAGGACAGUGAAGAAAAACAAGUGUUAUGUUUUUUGCUGCUUCCUCAUAUCUUAGACAGUUUGUAUUUGUUACUAAUAUAUUGAAAUGUAGAUUUACUUUAGUAGGGAUGUAAUUUUUUGAGAUGCGCCAUGCUGUAAACUUAAUUUUAGAAAGGAGUUUUAGACUCUAUAGU